AUUGAACGCUGGCGGCAGGCCUAACACAUGCAAGUCGAGCGGAUGAAGGGAGCUUGCUCCUGUAUUCAGCGGCGGACGGGUGAGUAAUUCCUAGGAAUCUGCCUGGCAGUGGGGGAUAACGUCCGUAAACGGGCGCUAAUCCCGCAUACGUCCUGAGGUAGAACGUGGGGGAUCUUCGGACCUCACGCUAUCAGAUGAGCCUAGGUCGGAUUAGCUAGUUGGUGGGGUAAAGGCCUACCAAGGCGACGAUCCGUAACUGGUCUGAGAGGAUGAUCAGUCACACUGGAACUGAGACACGGUCCAGACUCCUACGGGAGGCAGCAGUGGGGAAUAUUGGACAAUGGGCGAAAGCCUGAUCCAGCCAUGCCGCGUGUGUGAAGAAGGUCUUCGGAUUGUAAAGCACUUUAAGUUGGGAGGAAGAGAAGUAAGUUAAUACCUGGAUGUUUUGACGUUACCAACAGAAUAAGCACCGGCUAACUUCGUG
rnacentral:rRNA from 1 species